GUUCCUGGCUUAGGAUGAACGCUAGCGGCAGGCUUAACACAUGCAAGUCGAGGGGCAGCGCGGGAUAGCAAUAUCCUGGCGGCGACCGGCGGAAGGGUGCGUAACGCGUGAGCGACAUGCCCGUUGCCCGGGGACAACCGGUGGAAACGCCGACUAAUCCCCGAUGGGAUAUUGUGCCGCAUGGCACGAUAUUGAAAGUUACGGCGGCGACGGAUUGGCUCGCGUCCGAUUAGCUUGUUGGCGGGGUAACGG
rnacentral:rRNA from 1 species